GUGCCAGCGGAUCGUUUCACUAGUACUGAAGACUGGUGGCUGCAAGCACGUAAAGAAGUUCCCAAGCCCACCGGUCGUGAUUUUGACACAAUCGCUAUCUUGAUUCAAUGGAAGAUUUGGAAGGAAAGAAAUUCCAAAUUUUUUUGAGCAGAAGCAAGCAAUCCAUUCAGGGUUUUGGAUCUGGUCAGAGAAGAUAUUGGGACAUGGAGGGCGGCAGGUUGUGUUUCAGACAUCAGCAACCUCUCUUGA
rnacentral:rRNA from 1 species